UCGCAUUGACGUCAGCGCCGCAA
rnacentral:miRNA from 1 species